rnacentral:rRNA from 1 species
GGAGGGUGCAAGCGUUGUUCGGAUUUAUUGGGUUUAAAGGGUGCGUAGGCGGCCUAUUAAGCCAGUGGUGAAAGGUAUCAGCUUAACUGAUGACGUGCCAUUGAAACUGACAGGCUUGAGUACAGACGAGGUAGGCGGAAUUUAUGGUGUAGCGGUGAAAUGCAUAGAUACCAUAAAGAACACCAAUUGCGAAGGCAGCUUACUAGACUGAGACUGACGCUGAGGCACGAAAGCGUGGGGGGAGCGAACAGGAUUAGAUACCCUGGUAGUCCACGCUGUAAACCGAUGAUUACUGGAUGUGUGCGAUAGACAGUACGCGUCUGAGCGAAAGCGUUAAGUAACUCCACCUGGGGAGUACGAUCGCAAGAUUG